CCUCCACACUCACAAUGGCCCCCUGGUCCCACUUUCUCUCUCAAACUUUUUCUCAUUCCUUUGACUCCACCAGACUUUGUUGCCUCAACGACCUGGUGCUGGGUUUGAUCACCCCAACACUGAAUGACCAGGAUGACUCCUUCACUCUUAUAUCUGGUGAACAUGCUGGUGUGGAUGGAACAGUAAGAGCAUGGAAGGAGCUCUCUCUCCUUGCAGCCUCUUAGGUGGCUGGCCUGGGCUUCCUCACAACAUAGUGGUCACAGGUAAGAUGGACUUCUGCAGUAGCUGGCUUACCCCAAAGCAAGCAUUUCAAGAUGCCCAAUUGAAAGGUGCAAACUUACGACCUAGACUAAUAAGUCCUAGAAUGUCACUUCUGCCACAUUGUAUUGGUCAAGUAAGCCACUAGAGCCAGCCAGAUUCAAGGAGUGGGGGACUUAGACUGUACCUCUCAAUGAGAGAAGAAGCAAAGAAAUUAUGACCAUCUUUAAUUGACGAUGCUCCCAUUCAGUACUGUGAGCAUAUUGAAAUGUAGAACAUAACUUCUACCUGAGCAACGAGCCAGAAGAGUGUAUGUUUUGACUUGAGAAGCGUCAGCAGGGAAUGUUACAGCAGCAGCCAGAGCAAGGAGACAGCCAGUGGAGACUACCAUAUUAGAACUGAGAGAAUGUGCCUCUGAGGACAUGCUGGAGGAAACAGAAGCUGGGAGGAUUGCAUUCCCGCGUACACACUAGGCACAUCCUAGAGAACUCCUGAACAGUUGGAGAGAAUUUGGAAAUCAUCAGCAAAUAAGAAGAGACUCAGAGAAACAAUACCUUUUUAUUAUUGUAAUGUGAUGUCAUUUCACACGCACACACAGGUAUGGCCAAAGGAAUCACCUAUUGUAACAACAAGACUUUUAAGCCCAGGCAACAUGGUGAAACCUUGUCUCUACAAAAAAUACAAAACUUAGCCAGGCGUGAUGGUGUGUGCCUGUAAUAUCAGCUACUCGAGAGACUGAAGUGGGAGGAUUGCUUGAGCCCAGGAGAUUGAGGCUGCAGUGAGCCGAGAUUAUGGCACUGCACUCCAGCUUGGGCGGCAGAGAGACCCGGUCUCAAUAAUAUUUGUGUGUGUGUGUGUGUGUGUGUGUGUGUGUGUGUAUUUUAAGACUUCUGCAGUGACUACAUAGCUUUACCAGAUAAUGAUAUUCCCAUCAUAAACCAUUUUGUUACUCUGUGAGAAACACAUAAUCUAAAAUUGAUGGGUCUCACACUUUGCAGUCAAUGGAUAUUAAAUAGAGUAGUGAAAUAAAAAAUUGAUGUAUAUUUUAACAUCAUUCAUGGGCUGGAAGAAUAUGUCAAUAGCUGUUGCUAAUGCAAUAAAUAGCUCCAAAUAUAGCAACUGCAGCCAUGUAUCUCAAUACUAUAAUAGAGUGAGCCAAAGGAAAAAUUCAGAAAACAAUAAAUAUACACAGACUACAAGUGCACAAGGCCAACAAGAAUUCCUUACCACCACUACCACAAAAUAAAUCUUUAAAUGUCUUCCUCACUGGAUAGAAAUUGUUCUUUUUUUCAUCAACAUCCUAUCCCAUGAGAGCUAUCUAUUGCCUGCUACCCCGUCCCUUCCGCCCCUUCUCCCUCAGAGAAAACUACCUUGGAUGAACUACAUUUUUAGAACAUUAAUUCACUAACUUCUAAAGCUUUCCUUGUGUGUGUGUGACAGGGUCUUGUUCUGUCACCCAGGCUGGAGUGCAGUGGCAUGAUCACAGCUCACUGCAGUCUCAGCCUCCUGGGCUUAAGCAAUCUUUCCACCUCAGCCCUGCAAGUAGCUGGAACUUGAGGUGCAUGCCACCAUGGCCAGCUAAUUAUUUUUAUUUUUUGUAGAGACAGGCUCUUUCUACAUUGCCCAGGCUGGUUUCAAAUUCCUGGACUCAAGUAAUCCUACCACCUUAGUCUCCCAAAGUGCUGAGAUUACAGGCAUGAGCCACCAUGCCUGGCCCAUUUCUUUUUCUCUUUUCUCUCUCUCUUUUUUUUUUUGAGAUGGAGCUUCGCUCUUGUUGCCCAGGCUAGAGUGCAAUGGCGUGAUCUUGGCUCACCGCAAACCUCUGCCUCCUAGGUUCAGCCCAGCCCAUUUCUAAAACUUUUAUUCUUUUAUUUGCCAACUGCGUAGAGAAAAAAAAAUGUUAGAAGAAAGCAAGAACCAG
rnacentral:lncRNA from 10 species